UUUCGACCUCGGGGGUGCUGGAUCACGCACUGAACUUAAGCAUAUCAUUAAGUGCAGGAAAAGAAACCAAAUGGGAUUCCCAUAGUAACGGCGAGUGAAGUGGGACGAGCUCAGCACCGAAGCCGGCGGCCGAGAGGCCGUCGUGCAAUGUGGUGUUCGGGACGGCUCUGUCCGUGUCCGGCGUCGGUCCAAGUCUCCUGGAAAGGAGUUCCGUGGAGGGUGACAGGCCCGUGCGACCGAUCGCCGCGUUCGCGGACGAGUCUUCCUUCGAGUCGGGUUGCUCGCUAAUGCAGCCCUAAGCAGGUGGUAAGCUCCAUCUAAAGCUAAAUAUAACCACGAGUCCGAUAGUCAACAAGUACAGUGAUGGAAAGUUGAAAAGUACUCUGAAGAGAGAGUCAAAUAGCCCGUGAAGCUGCCAGUAUGGGAUUAAGCGCACGUGUGACGCGUGUCGUCUGACAAAUAGGCGUUCGUCGGCUGUCGCACGGCGCGCGCUCGGCAUCGGAAACGGUGUCGGCGCGCGUCGCUGUUGGGCGGUCGGCGGCACGCCUCCCUUUGUUGGACACAGACAGGUCGGGGCUUCGUUGUCCGGUCUUAUUGCCGGUCGUUAUGACGAGAGCCGUACUCGGCCGGCGCCGUCUUCGGACGUGUGCCGGUGCUCCGCGGAGUGUGCGCCUUGUGCGGCCGCGGCGGGUCUGGUCUCGGUGUGACGCGACCGAUUGGCGAACGACUGGGCGACGGCCAGCGCAAAUCGACAUUUAUGUGUCGGCUCGGCCUUUGCGUCGUCACGUGCGGCCCGUCUUGAAACACGGACCAAGGAGUCUAACAUGUGAGCGAGCGAUUGAGAUAGUCGAAUCUCAAACGCGCAAUGAAAGUGAAGUGUCGUCUGACGGCACGAGCGGAGAUCCGUCGUCACUCGUGGCGGCGGCGCAUCCGCGGGCCACGCCAUCGGCUGGCUUGCUCUUCUGAGCACUGCUGAGGCGUGGACCUAGAGCCCACACGUUGGGACCCGAAAGAUGGUGAACUAUGCCUGGCCAGGAUGAAGCCAGAGGAAACUCUGGUGGAGGUCCGCCGCGAUUCUGACGUGCAAAUCGAUCGUCUGAGCUGGGUAUAGGGGCGAAAGACCAAUCGAACCAUCUAGUAGCUGGUUCCGCCCGAAGUUUCCCUCAGGAUAGCUGGCGCUCGUGUGAUACGGAGUUUCAUCCGGUAAAGCGAAUGAUCAGAGGAGCUGGGCUCCUUGCGAGCUCAACCUAUUCUCAAACUUUCAAUGGGUGAGACGUCUCGCUGGCUUCAGUGCAGCGACGACUCUGAAUCCGAGUGCCCAGUGGGCCACUUUUGGUAAGCAGAACUGGCGAUGCGGGAUGAACCGCAUGUCGAGUUAAGGUGCCUAAGCGGACGCAAAUCAGAUACCAUGAAAGGUGUUGAUUGCUCAGGACAGCAGGACGGUGGCCAUGGAAGUCGGCAUCCGCUAAGGAGUGUGUAACAACUCACCUGCCGAAGCAAUCAGCCCUGAAAAUGGAUGGCGCUAAAGCGUUCCACCGAUACUCGACCGUCGUCGGCAGGCGACGUGCAUGUCACGUCUCAAGCCACGACGAGUAGGGCGGCGCGGCGGUGAGCGUCGAAGGCGUAGCCGUGAGGCUAGCUGGAGCCGCCGUCGGUGCAGAUCUUGGUGGUAGUAGCAAAUACACAAGCAAGAUCCUUGUGGACCGAUGUGGAGAAGGGUUCCGCGCGAACAGUACUUGGACGUGGGUGAGUCGGCCCUAAGCCAACGGGUAAUUCCCGCAUCCCGUGUUUGUCGCAUUUAUCGAAUAACAUGGGUUGAUGGCGAAAGGGAAUGCGGUCAAUAUUCCGCAACCGGACGCGGGCACAAUGCUCACUUUGUGGGCACGUCGCGGCGACGCCAACAGACUCGGUCUCGCUGACCAUGACUCGAGGUAGAGUUUUCUAUUCUAGUUGAGGGUUCCGGCCGUGGAAGCUAUUCGCUAUGAGAAACGAGGGUCUCUCGGGGCCCGCGCAUGGAUACCCGCAGAGCGGUGUGUACUUCACGCCGUCUCGUGCGUCAUGGUCGGCCCUUGAAACACCGAGCGAGGGGACAUGCUCAAUGCCCGCGUCCGUCCGUACCCGACACCGCAUCAGGUCUCCAAGGUGAACAGCCUCUGGUCGAUAGACGAAUGUAGGUAAGGGAAGUCGGCAAAAUGGAUCCGUAACUUCGGGAUAAGGAUUGGCUCUGAGGCUUCGGUCGUUCGGGCCUCUCUGUGAAGUGGUUAAGGUGCCGCGAUCACUUGGGCUAGGUCUUGUGCUGGUCACGAGACUUACUGGACCUUGUCCGCGUGUCACCCGCCAUGGAUCGGUUUGGCUUGUCGGCCUGUCUGGCCGGGCGCCGUUGUCGGUUUCGGCCGGCGGCGCGCACGGUCGACGGGAACAACCGCGUCGUUCGGCAAUUAAGAAGCAACUCAGAACUGGCACGGACCAGGGGAAUCCGACUGACUAAUUAAAUCAUAGC
rnacentral:rRNA from 1 species